AAUUAAAUCUUCACAUUGACUGUUUUUGGAAUGUAAGUGAAAUUCCAUCUCAAACAAUAUAACACAAAGUUGCAACACUUUUGUCUCAUAGUAAACAUCAUAAAAGGUGGAGCUUCCUAGAUCAUAGUUCUUCUCACGGAUAAUGAGACUUGAGCUAAGCAAGAUCUCAUGGUCUUGCGGGAUCCUCCAUCGUACUCCGUAUUGUAUUCUUAUGCAUGCUCAAGAGUACAAAAUGGACACAGCUCUUGGUGGAUGAAACACUAUUAGCGAAAUAAAAAAGUGGGCAUUACCCUCUUUUAUAGCUACCUUUCAUUGUACCCCUUGG